rnacentral:lncRNA from 1 species
AACAGCCUCUCUACCCAAGGGGUAGGGGUAAGGUCUGCGUACACACUACCCUCCCCAGACCCUACUAAGUGGGAUUAUCCUGGGUUGUUGUUGUUGUUGAUGAAUCUAAGUGCACAGAGAUGUAUGCAGAAUCAAAAUAAUACUAAUUGCUUGGAUUUUGAGACCAAGCAAAUUUAUGAGAAGCGUUACAGGAGAAUAGGACAUCCAAUUACCGCAAAGAAGAUGAGCAUUUUGACCAACUAUAACUGGCGAUAUAAUAAAACAAUACCUUGUCGAGCAAC